CAAACUUGAGAGUUUGAUCCUGGCUCAGAACGAACGCUGGCGGCAUGCCUCAUACAUGCAAGUCGAACGAAGCCUUCGGGCUUAGUGGCGAACGGGUGCGUAACGCGUGGGAACCUGCCCUUAGGUUCGGAAUAACAGUUAGAAAUGACUGCUAAUGCCGGAUAAUGUCUU
rnacentral:rRNA from 1 species